rnacentral:rRNA from 1 species
AACGAACGCUGGCGGCAGGCCUAACACAUGCAAGUCGAACGCUCCGCAAGGGGCGUGGCGCACGGGUGAGUAACACGUGGGAACAUGCCCUUGGGUACGGAAUAACGGCGGGAAACUGCCGAUAAUACCGUAUGAUGUCUUCGGACCAAAGAUAUAUCACCCAAAGAUUGGCGCGCGUCUGAUUAGCUAGUUGGUGGGGUAAUGGCCUACCAAGGCUACGAUCAGUAGCUGGUCUGAGAGGACGACCAGCAACACUGGGAAUGAGACACGGCCCAGACUCCUACGGGAGGCAGCAGUGGGGAAUAUUGGACAAUGGGGGAAACUCUGAUCCAGCCAGGCCGCGUGAGUGCUAAGGCCUUCGGGUUGUAAAACUCUUUCGCGAGGGAAGAUAAUGACGGUACCUCGAGAAGAAGCUCCGGCUAACUUCGUGCCAGCAGCCGCAGUAA